rnacentral:tRNA from 1 species
GCUUGUGACUCAGUGGUAGAGUGCUUGCCUAGCAUGUGUGAGGCACUGGGUUCGAUUCUCAGCACUGCA